rnacentral:lncRNA from 1 species
UGGUGGGGAAAGUGUUGAGGGGACUCCUGACUUUGAGAACAGCAUAAGCAGAGGCAUGGAAGAAGGAACCUGAUGGGAAUUUGGAAGGAAAUGGGCCACAAUUUCUUAAAUUGAAAUAAGUACCCCACAUAAGAACUCAGACUGAAUGACAAAUGUACCAACCUGCCACAGUAAGUUUUCCAGAUGUCAUAUUUUCUCCAGCAAAAAAUGUAUAUUUUCCUUCAUCAUCUUUCAUCAUAUUUAGAACUGUCAGCUUAUAUAUUUUUCCAUGAGCUUCAAUUUUAUAUUUGGAACUGGGUGUGAUUUCUUUGUCCUUAAAAUUCCACAAAACAUCAAUUCCUGAGUGGGAUAGCUCAACUUCUAAGACCACAUUUUGGGUUUCUGUACAGGUAAGGUCACGAAGACCUCUGAUAAUUUUAAUUUCUGGGGAAAAAGAAAAUAAACACUUGGUUAAUAUUACACUGGGAAAAUAGAAUGCUUAAAACAAUAAUAAGUUAAAUGGAAGAAUCCUUACUUUCCACAGAAAGAUCACAGCUAGUUUCGACUCUGCCAACCAUCAGCUUGUAAGGUCCUUCAUCUGAGGCGUGGGUCCGGUUAAUCACUAGUCGCUGCUUAGUGCCUUUGACGAUGGCUUGUACACGAUCAUCAGGCUUGAUUUGUUCAUCAUUUAAGUACCAUUUAACAGAAGUCACAUCAGGGACUGAUACCUUGCAUUCGAGCACAGCCUUGGUACCCUCAAUCACAUUAACAUCCUUCAGAGGUGUUAUCACUUCAACACCUGCAAAACCACACAGACACACACACACACACACACAAUUUAUUAAUGUGAAUUUUGUUUUAAAUGCCUAAUUAAAGUUUUCUACCUCACUUAAAAAUAUACACAUAAAAAUACGUAAGUUGACUCACUGUAGACAGAGACACGCCCACUGGUUGAUAGUCCAAGGGAUGGAAUGGUGAAGGAGUAAUUUCCAGCAUCCUCCUUAGUCAUGUCUUCAAUAAGCAGCAUAUGUGACUGUUUGUCUAUCACAAUGUGAACCCUGUCACUGGGCUGUACUUCUUGGCCAUCUUUCAUCCAGACACCUUCCACAUUCUCUAAGGAGACCUUAACUUCAAGCUGAACAAUGUCACCUUCACAGACUUUUUGAUCACUAAGUCCUUGUAGAAUAGCAAUGGGACGGGCUGUGAAAUAUGGGGAGAAAAGUGAAAGUUAUGAUCAUUUCUUAUCAAUAAGCCAUAAUGAUAUUCCCUUCAGGCCAAAAACAACAGGCAGACUUACGUUUCAUCUUUAGUUUACAGGUUGUCUUUUUCCCAUCCACAACAAAGGUGUAUUCUCCCUGGUCCUCUUUGGUCACAUCCUUAACUGUGAGGUUCUGACGUCCACGACGAGAUGUAAUUGUGUAUUUACCAUUGGACUUCAGCUCCACACCGUUAUGAUACCAUUUGCCUUCUAUAUUUUCUGGGGAUAUAAUGCACUCUAACUCUCCUGAAAACGAUUCUGGAACUUCUAUAUCCUGAAGUUCCUUCACAAACUCAACAACUGCACCUGAGGCAUAAGAUAAAGAGAAGUUAAUUUUUCUUGAGAGUUACACAUCUAGACUUAGGGUAGAAAAAAUUCCUUGUAAGUCUCUCAAAUCCCCCCAUGCUAUCAGGAAUAUUCUUAAUGUGUACCUGCUGAUGAACUGAGGAAUAUAUUUUCAAUAAAAAAAGUUAUUUUACUUAAAAUUUU